rnacentral:rRNA from 1 species
AUUGAACGCUGGCGGCAGGCCUAACACAUGCAAGUCGAACGAGUGGCGGACGGGUGAGUAAUGUCUGGGAAACUGCCUGAUGGAGGGGGAUAACUACUGGAAACGGUAGCUAAUACCGCAUACCAUCGGAUGUGCCCAGAUGGGUGUAGCUAGUAGGUGGGGUAAUUGCUCACCUAGGCGACGCUCCCUAGCUGGUCUGAGAGGAUGACCAGCCACACUGGGACUGAGACACGGUCCAGACUCCUACGGGAGGCAGCAGUGGGGAAUAUUGCACAAUGGGCGCAAGCCGGAUGCAGCCAUGCCGCGUGUAUGAAGAAGGCCCUAGGGUUGUAAAGUACUUUCAGUGGGGAGGCGUUACCGGCAGAAGAAGCACCGGCUAACUCCGUGCCAGCAGCCGCGGUAAUAC